rnacentral:snoRNA from 1 species
AUCCCAUGGUUUGAACACUUUCUCAUGAGCUCCUUAAAUCUGUUCCAGGCCUCAUGAUAGCUCUCUCAAUCCUUCUGUUGAAAACUUUGAAAUUCCAAUCUGAUUUU